AGCCCACUUUCUGGAAGGGCCGUAUUUAUUAGAUAACAGACCAAUAUUCUUCCGUGUCUAUUGUGGUGAAUCAUAGUAACUAAUCGGAUCGUAUGGGCUAGUCCCUCGACAAACCAUUCAAGUUUCUGCCCCAUCAGCUUUCGAUGGUAGUGUAUUGGACUACCAUGGCUUUCACGGGUAACGGAGGAUUAGGGUUCGAUUCCGGAGAGGGAGCCUGAGAAACGGCUACCACAUCUAAGGAAGGCAGCAGGCGCGUAAAUUACCCAAUUCUGACUCAGACACGUAGUG
rnacentral:rRNA from 1 species